GACGCUUUGGCAGAGCGGUUAAGGCAACACACUCGGACUGUCUGCAGGGAUUAGUUGGACCUCUCGCACAUGUUCAAAUCAUGUAGGCGUCG